CAAGUCGAACGGUAACGCGAGGAGCUGCUCCUGGCGACGAGUGGCGGACGGGUGAGUAAUACUUAGGAAUCUGCCCAGUAGUGGGGGACAACCCGGGGAAACUCGGGCUAAUACCGCAUACGCCUACGGGGAAAGCGGGGGACCUUCAGACCUCGCGCUAUUGGAUGAGCNUAAGUCGGAUUAGCUUGUAGGUGGGGUGAAAGCCCACCUAGGCGACGAUCCGUAGCUGGUCUGAGAGGACGAUCAGCCACACUGGGACUGAGACACGGCCCAGACUCCUACGGGAGGCAGCAGUGGGGAAUAUUGGACAAUGGGCGCAAGCCUGAUCCAGCAAUGCCGCGUGUGUGAAGAAGGCCUGCGGGUUGUAAAGCACUUUCAGUAGGGAAGAAAAGCCUGAGGUUAAUACCCUCGAGUCUUGACGUUACCUACAGAAGAAGCACCGGCUAACUCCGUGCCAGCAGCCGCGGUAAUACGGAGGGUGCGAGCGUUAAUCGGAAUUACUGGGCGUAAAGCGCGCGUAGGCGGUAAUGUAAGUCGGAUGUGAAAGCCCCGGGCUCAACCUGGGAAUUGCACUCGAUACUGCACUACUAGAGUAUGGGAGAGGGAAGUGGAAUUUCCGGUGUAGCGGUGAAAUGCGUAGAUAUCGGAAAGAACACCAGUGGCGAAGGCGAC
rnacentral:rRNA from 1 species